rnacentral:lncRNA from 1 species
CACUUUUCAAAAAAAUGUGCAGAAUUUAUCUUUGUUUCAAAUAAAGAAAUACUUGGCAUGAGUAAAGUUUUAUCCUGUCCAGUACUAUAAAAAAAAUUCACAUAACAUUUCAUUGCAUAUAAGAAAAUAACCAUCAUUGGAAGUUAACCAAUCAAAUGUCUCCCCUUAUUUUAUCUGUGUACAAGGUUUAGUCACCAUGUAACCUCAAGAUUACAAAAUUUUCUAUAGAAAUCCCAAAUAAAAAAUAAUGGUGUUUUGAAAUACCCAAGACAUAUGUUUAUGACACAGAAAUUUUUGUACUGCAAUAAAAUGUGGGAUUAAUUACCUACAACUGUCAAAUUCAAGGGGAAUAUUUUUUUAGACCUACUUUCGUAUA